rnacentral:sRNA from 1 species
AGAGGAACAUCGACUAACUACUGCCACGUCCUGUGGCAAACGUCGUUGUCAGCACAUCCUGUG